rnacentral:rRNA from 1 species
GUCGAGUGCGCGGUUGUAGCAAUACAACUGGCGCACGGCGCACGGGUGCGUAACACGUGGGCAAUCUGCCCUCCGAUGGGGAAUAACCCCGCGAAAGCGGGGCUAAUUCCGCAUAACAUUCCCUGGACUCUGGUUCGGGGAUUCAAAGCAGCAAUGCGUCGGAGGAGGAGCCCGCGCCCGAUUAGCUAGUUGGUGAGGUAACGGCUCACCAAGGCAAUGAUCGGUAGCUGGUCUGAGAGGAUGGCCAGCCACACUGGAACUGAGACACGGUCCAGACUCCUACGGGAGGCAGCAGUGGGGAAUCUUGCGCAAUGGGCGAAAGCCUGACGCAGCGACGCCGCGUGGGGGAUGAAGCUUCUCGGAGUGUAAACCCCUUUCGACCGGGACGAAUGCCCGCAAGGGAGUGACGGUACCGGUAGAAGAAGCCCCGGCUAACUACGUGCCAGCAGCCGCGGUAAGACGUAGGGGGCCAGCGUUGUUCGGAAUUACUGGGUGUAAAGGGUUCGUAGGCGGUGUGGCAAGUCGGGAGUGAAAUUUCUGGGCUUAACCCAGAGGCUGCUUCCGAAACUGCUGUGCUCGAGUGUGGGAGAGGCGCGUGGAAUUGCAGGUGUAGCGGUGAAAUGCGUAGAUAUCUGCAGGAACACCCGUGGCGAAAGCGGCGCGCUGGACCACUACUGACGCUGAGGAACGAAAGCUAGGGGAGCAAACAGGAUUAGAUACCCUG